ensembl:lncRNA
AAAACAUGGCACGAUUGCCACAUUGUCCAUUUUAGUUCAAGUGAGUAGAGCUGUCUUCACACUAAUAAAAUGCUUGAUUAAAUAAGAAACAGAGUGCACGCAGAUUGUCACGCAGAGAGAAACACUUUAAUGGACUUCUGUGUUUAAUUACAGCCAAAAGAAAUCCAACAAAAGUCUGCUUGCUGACACACUGCUCCUUCCAUAUGGGAUCCCGACAUGACUCAGUAUCAUCCUGACAGGAGUCGUGAUCUAAAAAGCCCUCGCUGCACUGCCUCUCCCUUGGAGCCAUUUUGGAACGGUAACCAUGGAGAUGUGGGUCAUGCAGUGACGGCAGAGAGGGUAGACUUGUGGCUGGUGGCGGAGUCGGAACACUGCAGGCUGCUGGAGCUGAGGGCCAUAAACCCUCAUUAUAUCUGGGUCACUGGGAUGCUCCAGCUGCAACAAGCAGACAAGAUGCUAUUAUGCAAGAAGAGGGAGGCUGUGGGCACAGGGGCUUAUAGUUCCAGGGGGACGCCGGUGCACUGAGCGAGGCAUAUGUCAGGAGCGUGUGGUGAUUCAACACAAGACCAGCUGAGCGGUACCUUCUCGGUUUAGCUCAAAACAUGUUGUUGUUUUGGCCUAUCAAUUUAACAUUUGUGAUAAAUAAAUUCAGCUGUCUUGUUGCAGCUUUGUAUAUUGAGAGAUCUGUUUAAUUUAAUCUAACAUAGUAAAUAAUGUAGACUGUACAAUUGCAAAAUUAUACCGUACAUUAUAGUACGUAGAAUUAGACGACAUAUAUUAUAUCUAGAUUAUGCUUAAUGUAGACUGGCCAACAUAUUAACCAGGGAGAGGGUGAAUAUGUCUGAUGAUGAAGUGAAGGUGGUCUAUGUCAAAUCAAAUGUUGGCCAUUUUUGUAGUUUUAAAAAAACGUACGGUUUAUUUUCCUGUUGGAUUAUCAAAUAAAUCCUUGCGUUGUCUGCUAGACAAGAAUCUGAG